rnacentral:sRNA from 1 species
CCCCUCCUCACUCCUCACCCUCCAGGGUAGCGGCUACCGGAGCGCUGCAGGGGGCUGCGCCUGCCUGCUCCGCCCCAGACCUGUCGGCGAAAGGUAGUUUAUGCCAACGUGACUUCAUUCAUACAGAUGAACCAAGGAUCAGGAUAGCAGUUUAAAAUUAGAAUCAGACAGCUGACUGCUCAGCAGGAUGCCAUCAACUAACAGAGCAGGCAGCCUGAAGGACCCUGAAAUUGCAGAGCUCUUCUUCAAAGAAGAUCCAGAGAAGCUCUUCACAGAUCUCAGAGAAAUUGGCCAUGGAAGCUUUGGAGCAGUGUAUUUUGUAAGUGUUAAUGGCUUGAUGUCAGUG